AACGUUUUGUCAAGCUCUGAAAAAUCAUAACCAUUAAAAAAUUUAUUUAUGAUUCUCGUGAUUCUCGUGAACGCACGUGAACGUGAAAACUCUUUCAUCAGUAAUUUUUUUAUAAUCAAAGAAAAUGAAUGUGACGGAGAAGCAGAAACAAAUACUUAUAAAUUUUAUGCGUUCUCAUCCCGACUUUGGAAGAGGACGAUUACGAUAUAAUCGCGAAAAUAAAAGGAAACUAGAUGAAUUAUGGGACGAGGUAACAACAGCUCUCAACAGCGCAAGCUGUGGCCCUAAAAAGUUGCCAAAAGACUGGGCAAAGACAUGGCGUGAUUGGAAGGCCAAUUUAUUGAAAAGGGUAGCCAUGUAUAAAUGUUAUGCAACAGGUACUGGAGGAGGACCAGCAAAAACUUUAGAUACAAGUCCUUCUGAAGAUGACUUGUUAGAGUUCCUCACCCCUGAAGCCAGUGGAAUGGAUGAUAUUCCUGAAGCAGGAGCUAUUAGCAAUUCAUUCUGUCCUGACAAUGAUUCAUUAUCAGAUUCUUUGACUUUGCAAAUGAAAGAAAAUUUUGUCUCUCAAAGUCCGAACUUCACUUCUAAUCUAACGAUUAGAAAGCCUUUGAUGCCGCAAGAUCAACAGAACAGGCAAAUCACUAAGGAAUUACUCAGUCAACGAAAAACUUUGCAGAAUUUGCAGACAUUCCAGAGUACCAAAUAUUCAAAGAAACUACAAGAUGCGACUUCUUUUCGGCAGAUUAAUGUUGAGGAAGAUCCCUGCCACAGCGAUAUAAUAAAUGUCGAUGCAGAUUUUAUAUCUUCUAAUGAACUCAAAGGAAAUGUAAGAGACACACAAAAAAAAACAGGAAAUGUUCUAACGAUGAAAAUACUAGUAACAAGAAAAUAAAGCAAGAUGUAAAACACUUGUUAGAGCAAUAUGCCUGUGAUAACUCUAAUACUAACGAGCAAAUGUUGCAAAUAAAACAAGAAAAAUUAGCCAUAGCCAAAGAA